UAUAUGUGUGUGUGUCUAUGUGUGUACACUAGCAGCUCUCUGCCCCCCUCUCUCUCCCUCCCUCCCUCUCUCUCUCUCUCUCUCACACUGACGGCCGUCCCACAAUCCAUCUCCAUCCGCCAUCUUUGCAUUAUUUCCAAUUUAUUUUCUGUCAGGGGCUCUGAUGAAGAUAUUUUUCUCUGGAGUCUCCGGCUUUCCGCUCCAGAUGUGACCGACUAUGUCUCGCCGCAAGCAAGGCAACCCUCAGCAUUUAAGUAAAAGGGAAUUUUCGCAGGCUGACCAUGUGGAGACGGCGAGCACGGACGAAGAGGACGCGGUCAUGGCUGGGCCGGGCAGCGGUGUUGGCACUGGAGACCAUGACCUGCUGACCUGCGGGCAGUGCCAGGCGCACUUCCCGCUGGCUGACAUCCUCGUCUUUAUCGAGCACAAGAGGAAGCGGUGCAACGGUGCGGCCAUCUGCUUCGAGAAGCCAGUGGAUAAAUCUAGCCCCUCUCCCCCACACCCGGAGCCCAGGAGAGUGUCUGAGCCCGUCGAGAUCGGCAUCCAAGUCACGCCCGAGGAGGACGACCGGCUGCUAACGCCUACGAAAGGAAUUUGCCCGAAGCAGGAGAAUCUUGCAGGAGGUAAAGAUGAGCCUUCAAGCUACAUUUGCACAACAUGCAAGCAGCCUUUUAUGAGUGCUUGGUUCCUGCUCCAACAUGCACAGAAUACACACGGAUUCCGGAUUUACUUGGAAACGCAUCCAUCGAACAGUCCCCUUACCCCUCGGAUUGGCCUUCCCCCCUCCUUGGGACCAGACCCAAUCUCACAGUCCCCCCUUACUACUUUUCUCGGUGAGAACAAUCCUUUCAACCUGCUGCGGAUGACUGGACCUAUACUUCAGGAGCACCCGGGCUUUGGUGAUGGCCGUCUCCCCAAUACUCCUCCCAUUUUCAGCCCGCCGCCUCGCCAUCAUCUAGACCCGCAUCGUCUGGACCGCCUUAAUGCUGAUGAAAUGGGCUUGGUAUCUCAGCAUCAUAGUGCCUUUGACAGAGUAAUGCGCUUGAACCACCCACUGGGUAUCGAAUCCCAGUCUAUGGACUUCUCCAGGAGGCUCCGAGAACUAGCAGGGAACAACAGCUCCACUCCGCCCUUGUCGCCCAGCCGUCACAAUCCUAUGCAUCGCUUGCUUCAGCCCUUCCAACCCAGCCCCAAGUCACCAUUUCUGAGCACUCCGCCACUCCCCCCCAUGCCCCCCAGCAGCACAACUCCUCCUCAGUCACAGUUGAAGAGCAAGUCCUGCGAGUUCUGUGGGAAGACCUUCAAGUUCCAGAGCAAUCUGAUAGUCCACCGACGUAGCCACACGGGGGAGAAGCCGUACAAGUGUCAGCUGUGCGACCACGCCUGCUCCCAGGCCAGCAAGCUGAAACGUCACAUGAAGACGCACAUGCACAAGUCAGCCUCCGUCACGGCCAGGUCAGACGAUGGGCUGUCCACCACGAGCUCACCUGAACCCGGCACCAGUGAACAUGCAAGCGGGGAGGGAUGUGGCCUGAAAGCCAACAUAACCAAUUUCAACACUGGUCAAAUGAAUGAGAACGAGGAGGAAGAAGAGGAGGAGGAGGAGGAAGAGGAAGAGGAACUGGAAAAUGAAAGCCGGCCCGAGUCUAGUUUCAGUAUGGACUCCGAGCUGAGUCGCAACCGAGAGAAUGGCUUCAAACUGCCAGUGAAUGAAAAGCACUGUGUUCUGGGCAAAGUCAUGGAAAAUGUAGGUCUCCGUGCAAUCCAACAUUACAGUGACGUGCUUACCGAUAAGCAGAAGCGUAAUAGCUUCUCCAAACGAUCCUCCGACGGUCAGAGAGACACUGGAGAUGAGGACUCUGUCGCAGGCGAACUGGAUCGACCAGAAGAUGGCACAGUGAACGGAAGAGGCUUUGGUCCUGGUGAAUCUUUCCCUAUCACGUUGCCUCGGAAACCACCUCUCAUCACUAGUCCCUCUCUGUCAGUCGCUUCUUCAAAAAGAAUUAAAACGGAGAAAGACCUGGACUUGUCCUCGGCACCUUUAAUUCCCUCUGAGAAUGUUUACUCUCAAUGGCUGGUGGGCUACGCAGCAUCAAGGCACUUCAUGAAAGACCCAUUCCUGGGAUUCGGCGACUCUAGACAAUCUCCUUUUGCCACUUCCUCUGAGCACUCCUCGGAGAACGGCAGCCUGAGGUUCUCCACACCGCCUGGAGAUAUGCUGGAUGGGGGACUCUCGGGCCGCAGUGGCACAGCCAGCAGCGGCAGUACCCCUCACAUGGGAGGGCCCGGCCCGGGGAGGCCGAGCUCCAAGGAAGGACGCCGGAGCGACACUUGCGAGUACUGCGGCAAAGUGUUCAAAAACUGCAGCAACUUGACAGUGCACCGCAGGAGCCAUACCGGCGAACGGCCUUACAAAUGCGAGCUCUGCAACUAUGCAUGCGCCCAGAGCAGCAAGCUGACGCGCCACAUGAAAACGCACGGCCAGAUCGGCAAGGAGGUUUACAGGUGCGACAUUUGUCAAAUGCCCUUCAGCGUUUACAGCACCCUUGAGAAACACAUGAAAAAAUGGCAUGGAGAACAUUUGCUGACAAGCGACGUAAAAAUCGAACAAGCAGAAAGAAGUUAAAGCUCCUUGAAGUAAAAGAGACUUGGUUUUAAAAAAAAACACAAAAAAUUCAAUUGUAAAGCUUAAUUAAUUGCCAACUGAGAAAGUCGGCCCAGAGUGCCUCCUGUGGCACUUAAAUAUUUUCAAGAAACUGCGACUUCUGAACAAGAAACUAUGGGAAAUCUAUGGUCCAAAAGGGUUAUGGUAUACAUUAGGGAACAACUGAGAUUAAAAGUGUCAGUGUUGCUUAGCAUAGCAUUCACAAUGCUGGCACUAUAAAAAAAAAUGUUAAUGUCAGUUGACGGUUUUUAUACUGCCAUUCAAUUUGACAUGAGUGCCUUGAAUAUUUGAUCUUCCUAAUGAGUCUCUGAGACAAAUGCAAAACCAUUUUUUGUGAAGUUAAAAAAAAAGUACUGAUUUGAAGAAGAAAAAAAAUCACACAACAAAGAGAAAAAUAUACGUCAUAUUAGAUUCUAGAGUUCUACACGCACCAACAAUCCAGCAUUUGUAAAACAAAACAAAAAAUAAAAUCAGCGGAACUUCACGCCAGCCGCUACAAGUUGGUGAAGACGAAACAGCAUCCCUUCCCCCCACUUGCCCCCCCUACCUAUCUAAUCAACUUCGGAAAAACAGUUUGACGGUCUGUACUCAUCAAUUGACGCUGCAGGACGCUGCUUAAACUGUGGGAACCCCACUGUAGCAAGGCUCAAAAGUUUUUUAAAAAAAAAAAGACGCCUCCAGAGUCCCAACAAGAACGUAAAGACAGUAACUCAUCAGGAACAAUGGCUACUCCUUAUUUUUUUUUGUUCUGAACAGAAUUAGUGCACUCAGUCUCGAAUAAGUUUACAGUAUUGAAUAUAUACAAAGGUGGAAAAAAAACAAAAAAAAUUGUGUGUGUGUGUGUGUGUGCGCGUGCGUGUGUUUGUUGAAUGAUCAAGAGAUUUUUUUUUUCCGAAGUUUGCUUAGUAAAUACAUGGAUGCCAUUAUGGCCAUGUGUAUAUUGGUUCUCUGAUUCAACUGGUGAAGGGGUUUAAUAUAUAUAUUACAGUUUCUUGAUCACUGUAAAAGUGUACCAGUAUUUGUAAUAAUGGAGAAUGCCUGGGCAUUUUACAAAAUGGAGAAAAAAAAAACAAAAAAAUUUUUUUUUCAAAAAUGGAAAUUGUUGCAGUAAAUUUGUGGGUCUAAAAUUGUACUUGUCACUGUAAUUGUAAAGUCUAAUUGACUAUCAGUUUUAGUAGACUUUUUUGCCUUGGGUGUUUUAUCUUUUUUCAAAAAUUGUAUAGAACUUGUAUUGGGAAGAACGAUUACUGCUACCAUAUGUAGACAAGAAAAAAAAUAGUAGAAAAGUGCAUAUUCAUGUAAUUGCUUUGCUUAAAUCACAUUCCUGACCUGUACUUUUUUCCCUCUGUUUCUCUGGAAUGGUUACUUGGUAUUGGUUCAUAAUAGUGUAGGCACUUGCUGUAUUUAUACAGGAGCUUGUAUUUUUUAACUGUUUGCUUGUCCUUUUAAAGGUGCGACAAAAAAGUACCUUUUUUUUUGGUAGUGGAUUAGAAAAAGAACACACAGGCUGCCAUAAUAUAUUUUUUUAAUUUUGGCAGGAUAAAAAUAGUGCAAAAAUAAUUUGUAUGUUCUGAAAUCUUAUUGUACAGGAGAAAAAGAAAGGUCGUGUAACGACCUUUUGUUAAAAAAAAAUACAAAAAGGAAUUAGGAAAUGCAUUGCUGGUCACUGAUAAUUUGAUUUUCAUUUGUACAGUUUCCCUCCCAGAUUCCCUGUUGGAUAUGCACGGUUUACAGUUUUGCCAGUCUGUUUCAUUUUUUUUUUCUUCAUGAUUUGCUGCCUUUGCUCUCCCUAUUCUCAUGGACUCAAUUCAAAUCCAUUGUGGUCAGAGUCAGAUCAAUGUAAAUCGGACUGAAUGAAAACUAAAAUAUGUUGCAUUUCGCGCUGCUUUAAGGGUCAUUCAGUACGUGACAUUGAAGACAGAUAAAUUGAAUUGUAUUGUGUCCAUGUUGGGCAGUUGUAUGCUCACAGGGAUGAGAAGUUUCAUUGUUUUGGGCACAUUUCUGCCUUUCAUAAGUUUUGUAAAAUAGUUGCCCAGCUUUUUGUUUGAAGAAAAUAAUGAUUGAAUUAAACUAUGAUGUUUGCAGUAUGUAGUGACCACUAGGUGUCACUGAAACAUUCAAUUGUCAGUGCGCUAGCGACCACUAAUGGUAGUGAACAAAUACUGCAUUUUUCCAAAAUGGAACUCCCUUCAAUGGUUCUUUGUUAUUUUCUCUUGGAACUCCUUUCUUGUCCCUGAUGCAUCCACAUUAUGUGCAUGGCACUAUUUUGUUUUACAUUUCCAUGGGGAUUUGGGUUUCAGGCCUCCUUGAUCUGCUGCUGUGUAAAACUGAUGAGGCAGGUACAAGUAUAUGUUGAUCUAACUGCCAUUUGGUUUUUUUUAAUUUUGUGUUAACAGGAUCAUUCACUCCUUUUUUCACAUUCCACGGGUUCCUCAACGUAUGUAAUAAUAGGUAAGAGGUGGGAUGAAACCUUUUGUAUUUUGACACUUUGAAAUUUGCACUAAAAGGCAGAAAUGAAACAAAAACCACCCUGGAUGAAUAAUCUGUAUAACCUUUAACUGUUAAGGUCUGAAAUAUUAUCACUCCACUACCUAAGACAUGGGCAGCAUUCAUUAAACUCCACGUGUUCAAAGUUGAUUAUCAGUUGAUGGGCUAAGUGGCUUGAAAUAUCCAAUUGUUAGUGAGUUUGAUAUUCAGACAUUCCAGUGCAUUUCUGUGAAUAAAAUGUAGCAUGAAAGCUGUAGAGGCUCCAUUGCAUAUCUGUUGAUCUGCAACAGCUAUCACUGUUUGGCCUAGGUUGUGUCAGCUGUUGACAGUUACACAUUUUUAAUUGAUUUUACCAAUAUAGGGUAACCAGGGACUAUUUAAGCAUUCUUCUCUAGCUCUAGUGGAAAGUGUUCACGACAAUUUUCCCUGCAUCAUUCUUAUUACCGCGAGUAAUUUAGUGAGAUGGAAGGAGGUUGAUCCAAUAUUAACCUAAGCCACGGCUGAGUGUCAGCCCCGUGAGUUCAAGAGAUGCACCUCCCACUGGUUGGACACCAGAAACAAAGGUAUCAACUUUGACAGACAAUAUUCAUUGGCCAAAAAGAAAAUGUUAAAUUCAUUAUGUCAAGAAGGAAUAAUUCAUGGAGCCAACUUCUUUAGUGUACCACUUCAUGGGGCUUCUGGCAGUCGUCUUAGCAUGUCAGUCAAAGUUUUUUUUAACUUCCCUGUUUACAUCUUCCUUGUAAAACAGGCAGACAGCAGAGAAAGCACUUUGCUGAAUUCUGCAAAUGAUGCACCUGUCAUUACUGCAGUGAUAUAUUAGAUCAGAAAUUUGAUUUUAGAAUAAUAUGCUGUCAUCAAAUGGUCACUAUUAUUAGAUUCCAUAUGGAAGUUUUUAGAUUAUAAUUGGUUUCCACAACGUUUGUUUUACCAGUAUAAGUUACCAACAUGCCCUCACUGUUCUGUUUUCUAAGUGGUCUUGGCACUGGAAAGCUUUAAGGAAAACAUUGGUAAACAGGCAGCAGUACAAAAGUGUAUAGGAAGGAGCAUUCUCUUGUUUGAGUAGGUUUCAUACCACUGAGAGGAGGCAGGGAACUAGAUCUAAUGUGUUACAGCAAUAUUUUACAGCAUAAUCUUUUCAGCCACAAAGGGAAAAAGACAGUCAUCGUGGCGAAAACUAAGUAUUUGUAUAUUGGCAGCCACUGCGUAUAUUACAAUGGACACAGGUUUACAGAACUAGAUAAAACCUAGAUUAUAUAUCUAAGUUUUCAAAUUUUAUCUGUGAAAGAUUGACGGAAUGGGGAAAAAAAAAAAAAUUUUGCUUGAAGUGUCAGAUUCCAGUACUUGGUGCUGAAGAAAUAAUGAACUCAAAAUUGAGGCAGUGUAGCAGUUGCACAAUGGAUUUAUAUAGAGAACUCAUACCUGCUUCCUUAAAGUUGACAAAUCAUUCAAAACAAAAAAACCAUCAUAGUAGUUUAUUGUAUCGGCAUCCUGCCCAUGACCACUUUAUGUUGGAUGAGUUUAGGAUUAAUUGAUUUGCAUGCUCCUUCAUAUAGUGGUGUUCAAUGCUCUGAUAUUGGUCUCCAUCAGUAUUCAGUGUUUGGGCUGUGCUAUUUCAGCAGCUUCUGACAUUGUGUGCCACUACACAAGAUUCGCCUCCCCAUGCUGCCAUUUACCACCAACCAGUCAACAUUGUGUGCUUUCAAUGAGGAUUUUUGCAAGGAAAAGUACUGACGAACAUUCAAAGGUUAAGAGCUCACGUUUCAUCCCACCUCUGUUAAAUACAGUCCACAGGUUGUUUUAUCAUGACCAAAACACUUUAACGGUGCUGUUGUAUUUUUAAGAAUUGUACUUAAAAUGCAAAGCAAAUCAAUGCCACUUGAGUUGGACCUAUUUGUAAUGGCAAGGCAAAAUAUUUUAUUAGCUUUUUUCUAUUUCUGUAUUUAGAGCUUUUUAUUGUAACUUGAGAUUUGGUCUUAUACUACAAGUUUGAACUAUUUAUUAUUGCUUGUGUUGUGCUCUGUUUAAAACAGAUGCACAUUAUCCUUUUUUUUAUGUUGAAGUGCUGACCAGAGGUCACAUCAGCUUGGCUUUGUGAAAUAUUUAUUGUUCUGUUUUUCUGUACAAAAUCAAGCCCUCUCCUAAUCCACACUGUUUUCAGCUUGUGUCUACCAUUUCAUUCAUACACUCAUCCAAAUGUUUGUCCCAUUUUCAAGUGAAAGAAAUAAAUCAAAAAUUAUCUUUACAAUCUU